GAUGAAGAACGCAGCGAAAUGCGAUAAGUAAUGUGAAUAGCAGAAUUCAGUGAAUCAUCGAAUCUUUGAACGCACAUUGCGCCCGCCAGUAUUCUGGCGGGCAUGCCUGUUCGAGCGUCAUUUCAACCAUCAAGCCCCCGGCUUGUGUUGGGGACCUGCGGCUGCCGCAGGCCCUGAAAACCAGUGGCGGGCUCGCUAGUCACUCCGAGCGUAGUAAUACAUCUCGCUCAGGGCGUGCUGCGGGUUCCGGCCGUUAAAAAGCCUUAUUUACCCAAGGUUGACCUCGGAUCAGGUAGGAAGACCCGCUGAACUUAAGCAUAUCAAUAAGCGGAGGA
rnacentral:misc_RNA from 1 species